UUACUUACCUGGAUGGGGUCAAUAGGCGAUCAAGAAGGUCCAUGGCCUAGGUUGGUGACCUCCAUUGCACUUAGGAGGGGCGCCCACUUAAGAUAUCUCCAAGUGGGAUAGUCUACGUCAUAAUUUGUUGCUAUGGGGGUACGUGAUGUUCGAC
rnacentral:snRNA from 1 species